rnacentral:misc_RNA from 1 species
UCCGGUUUGACACCGGCAGUCUCGGUAGAGUCCUCGCCAUGACGCGUUAGUAACUACCGACAGGGGUUGCGCUCGUUAGAGGACUUAACCCGACGCUUCACAGCACGAGCUGACGACAGCCAUGCAGCACCUGUGACUGUUCCACUCUUGCGAGCGUCAUUCCUGUUUCCAGGAACUAAUCCAGCCAUGUCAAGACCAGGUAAGGUUCUGCGCGUUGCUUCGAAUUGAGCCACAUGCUCCACCGCUUGUGUGAGCCCCCGUCAAUUUCUUUGAGUUUUAGUCUUGCGACCGUACUCCCCAGGCGGCACGCUUAGCAAUUUCUCUACGAUCCCGGCGGCGUCAGAGCCGUCGUAAUCAAGCGUGCAUCGUUUAGGGCGUGGACUAC